GAUGAACGCUGGCGGCGUGCCUAACACAUGCAAGUCGAGUGAUCUCUUCGGAGAGAGCGGCGGACGGGUGAGUAACGCGUGGGUAACCUGCCCUGUACACACGGAUAACAUACCGAAAGGUAUACUAAUACGGGAUAACAUACGAAAGUCGCAUGGCUUUUGUAUCAAAGCUCCGGCGGUACAGGAUGGACCCGCGUCUGAUUAGCUAGUUGGUAAGGUAAUGGCUUACCAAGGGAACGAUCAGUAGCCGACCUGAGAGGGUGAUCGGCCCAACUGGAACUGAGCCACGGUCCAGACGCCUACGUGAGGCAGCAGUGGAGAAUAUUGCACAAUGGGCGAAAGCCUGAUGCAGCAACGCCGCGUGAGCGAUGAAGGCCUUCGGGUCGUAAAGCUCUGUCCUCAAGGAAGAUAAUGACGGUACUUGAGGAGGAAGCCCCGGCUAACUACGUGCCAGCAGCCGCCGUAAGAC
rnacentral:rRNA from 1 species